UAGAGGAUGAAAACUGUGAAAAACGGAGAAACCUGGAGAAAAUACAGCUAAAAACGAACUACACUGAGGCUAACUUCAACACUACAAACGUGGUAGCUAACUGCUGUAAGAAUUUAGUUGUAAGUUCAGUGUUUAGAUAUAGCGUUUGAGACUACUAGAAGCGUCGGUAGCUUUGAUGUCCGUAGGAUUCCCCCGCGACGCACAGUCUAUGCUGAUUCAAGAGCGAGAAGACCUUGUGGCUUUACUGGGCGCCGCCAUUUUGGGUGUGUGUGUCCAUCCGCUCUGGUGAAAUCGGUGAGAAUGUUCAUUUUCAAUUUAAGAAUUUCACUUACUAUGUACCUUAAAUUAUUUAUGUGCACUUAUUGUAUAUGAAGCUACAUUUUUAGUUGAACAAGCUGGUUUACUGUGUUGUUUAAUGUGUAAACUCAGCUUACUUUAUUUUGCACUUGCAUCAAAACUUUAAUUGUUCUAAGGUGCAGCUUAUCUGGUUGUGUGCAGCCAAGUUAUUUAUGUUUAUAUGCUGAAUAUUGAGAGAGAGGCACAGAAAGUAAACACCCACAGUAUGUAUAUCAUUGUGUAUUGUGAAUUUCAUGUAGUGUAUAUUAUUGCAUGAGACUUAAGCAGUGAAUAUUUCUCUGACCCUGUCUGUUGACAGGUCAGGUUUUUUUUGUGUGUGUGCGUGUUUCUUCUUCCAUUGUCUGGAUUGGAUCUGCAGAUGGACCUGUCUACUACUGCACUUGUGGUAGGCCCCAUUACAACACAAAACCCCUUCACUCACCUUCACACUCCUUCCCCCACACACAUACAUACACCAACCCUAUGGGACUCUGAACUCUGACUUACCUUCGACACACCUGUUCACACCUUGGGACUGAGAAUUUGGACCUGAGUAGUAGGAAUCAUUCCUGCAGUUAAGGGUUACUGUUGUACUGUGUGAAUUCUACUGGAUUGUACUAUUGAACUGGAUCUGAACAAACUUGAAUGUGGUGUUAUUAACAGAAAUUCAGGUUAAAGGGUGCACCCGGGAAUUUAAUUAUAGAACUACUUCAAAGAGUGAAAUACUCACUUUAAAUUUGGAAAGCAAGCAUUUCAUGCUGAUGUCAUAGCCUGAUUGUGAUAUCAAUAAUCGCCUUGUUCAAUACUUGUUUUAUUAUUGUACUUUUUCAUUUUUUGGUACCAACCAAUAUUUUUUAUUUUUAUACAUAUCUUCAAAUAUAAGAAGCCGGCAUCAUCUUACAUCUAA